UACAGAGGGUGCGAGCGUUAAUCGGAAUUACUGGGCGUAAAGCGUGCGUAGACGGCUAUCUAAGUCGGGUGUGAAAGCCCCGGGCUCAACCUGGGAAUUGCAUUCGAGACUGAAUAGCUAGGGUACGGUAGAGGGAAGUGGAAUUUCCGGUGUAGCGGUGAAAUGCGUAGAUAUCGGAAGGAACGCCGGUGGCGAAAGCGACGUGCUGGACCCUUUCUGACGCUGAGGCGCGAAAGCCAGGGGAGCAAACGGG
rnacentral:rRNA from 1 species